rnacentral:misc_RNA from 1 species
UUACAAUUACUGCACGGUCUCCGCUUGCAUGCACAACUUUUGCACUUCCCUCUGUUAUCACAAGGACAGCAUCUCUACAAAAAAGAUUUGUAUAUUGAAUGUUUCAGGAUUUUUUUAUUUUGAGUGAUAUUUAUAUAUCUUUCAUACUGGUGUGUAAUAAAACAAUACUUCUGUAUAUGCAUAUAU